rnacentral:rRNA from 1 species
GCCUGUUUAUCAAAAACAUCGCUCCCUGUAUAAAAUAAAUAGGGAGUCGGACCUGCCCAGUGAAUUUUUAACGGCCGCGGUACUCUGACCGUGCAAAGGUAGCAUAAUAAUUUGCCUUAUAAUUGAAGGCUGGUAUGAAUGGUUUGACGAGAAUAAAGCUGUCUCUUUGCAAUUUACUAGAAAUUUAUUUACGAAUGAAAAAGUUCGUAUGUUAUUAAAAGACAAGAAGACCCUAUCGAGCUUUAAAGAAUUUAGUAGACUGAAUAACUUAAUUAAAUCUAAAAAGUCAUCUAUUGAGAAUUUUAGUUGGGGCGACCGAGGAACAAAUAAAGCUUCCUUAAAAUAGAGUUCUUUGCCUAUUAGCUUUGAUCCAGAAUAUUUCUGAUUAAUAAAAUUAGUUACCGUAGGGAUAACAGCAUUAUCUUUUUUGAGAGCUCUUAUCGAAAAAAAGGUUUGUGACCUCGAUGUUGGACCAGAAUGUCCUAAAGAUGCAGCAGUCUUUAAGGGUUGGUCUGUUCGACCAUUAAUAUUCUACGUGAUCUGAGUUCA